ACAUUAGUGGUUCACCGGUAGAAUUCUCACCUUCCAUGCUAGAGACCCAGGUUGGAUUCCUGGCCAAUGCA
rnacentral:tRNA from 1 species